GAUGAACGCUAGCGGCAGGCUUAAUACAUGCAAGUCGUAGGGCAGCAUGAGUAGCAAUACUUGAUGGCGACCGGCAAACGGGUGAGGAACACGUACACAACCUUCCUUCAAGCGGGGAAUAGCCCAGAGAAAUUUGGAUUAAUACCCCAUAAUAUAUUUGAUAAGGCAUCUUAUUAAUAUUAAAGCUUCGGCACUUGAUGAUGGGUGUGCGGCUGAUUAGAUAGUUGGCGGGUAACGGCCCACCAAGUCUACGAUCAGUAGCUGAUGUGAGAGCAUGAUCAGCCACACGGGCACUGAGACACGGGCCCGACUCCUACGGGA
rnacentral:rRNA from 1 species